UGGGGAAUAUUGGACAAUGGGCGAAAGCCUGAUCCAGCCAUGCCGCGUGUGUGAAGAAGGUCUUCGGAUUGUAAAGCACUUUAAGUUGGGAGGAAGGGCAUUAACCUAAUACGUUAGUGUUUUGACGUUACCGACAGAAUAAGCACCGGCUAACUCUGUGCCAGCAGCCGCGGUAAUACAGAGGGUGCAAGCGUUAAUCGGAAUUACUGGGCGUAAAGCGCGCGUAGGUGGUUUGUUAAGUUGGAUGUGAAAUCCCCGGGCUCAACCUGGGAACUGCAUUCAAAACUGACUGACUAGAGUAUGGUAGAGGGUGGUGGAAUUUCCUGUGUAGCGGUGAAAUGCGUAGAUAUAGGAAGGAACACCAGUGGCGAAGGCGACCACUGGACUAAUACUGACACUGAGGUGCGAAAGCGUGGGGAGCAAACA
rnacentral:rRNA from 1 species